rnacentral:rRNA from 1 species
AUUGAACGCUGGCGGCAUGCCUUACACAUGCAAGUCGAACGGUAGCGGGCCUUCGGGUGCCGACGAGUGGCGAACGGGUGAGUAAUGUAUCGGAACGUACCUUUCAGUGGGGGAUAACGUAGCGAAAGUUGCGCUAAUACCGCAUAUUCUGUGAGCAGGAAAGCAGGGGAUCGCAAGACCUUGCGCUGGUUGGGCGGCCGAUAUAAGAUUAGCUAGUUGGUGAGGUAAAGGCUCACCAAGGCGACGAUCUGUAGCGGGUCUGAGAGGAUGAUCCGCCACACUGGAACUGAGACACGGUCCAGACUCCUACGGGAGGCAGCAGAGGGGAAUUUUAGACAAUGGGGGCAACCCUGAUCCAGCCAUGCCGCGUGAGUGAAGAAGGCCUUCGGGUUGUAAAGCUCUUUCGGCCGGGAAGAAAUCGUAUCAGCUAAUACCUGGUGCGGAUGACGGUACCGGCAUAAGAAGCACCGGCUAACUACGUGCCAGCCGCCGCCGUAAAAC